rnacentral:ncRNA from 1 species
GAUGGAAUAAUGUAGGCAAGGGAAGUCGGGAAAAUGGAUUCUUAACUUCAGGAAAAGGAUUAUCUCUAAGGUCUUAGCACGGGGAUCCCAGUCUCGAACGCAUCGUCUGUUGGUAGACUGCUCAAGCUACUCCCACAGCAAGAACGGGUCACCGCGUGCCGGCUAGGGGACGAACUGGGAAUGAUUCCUUCAGGGACCUUCCCCGCGCAUCAAACAGCCAACUCAAAAUUGGUAACGACAAGGUAAAUCCAAAUAUUUAAUUAGAAAAAAACAUUUCAAUGGUCCCAACGGAUGUUCAUGCAUUGUGAUUUUUUUCCAUUGCCCUAAAUUUCAAAGUGAAGAAAUUCAACCGAGAUCGGGUAAACGGCUGGUGUAACUAUGACUCUCUUAGGAUACCCAAAUGCCNNNNNNNNNNNNNNNNNNNNNNNNNNNNNNNNNNNNNNNNNNNNNNAUGCCUGCUGUCCCUAUCUACUAUCCGGCAAAACUAUAGCUAAGGGAACAAGCUUGGCAGAAUCAGGAGGGAAAGAAGACCUUGUUGAGCAUAACUCUAGUCCGACUUUGUGAAAUGACUUGAGAGGUAUAGUAUAAGUGGGAGCCAAAAGGAUAAAGUGAAAUACCACUACUUUUAACACUAUUUUACUUAUUUCGUGAAUCAAAAGAGGGACACUUAUUCUCUUUUUGGACCCAAGGCUGGAUCUAUGGGUUGAUUAAAGUGGAAGACUUUGUCAGGUAGGGAUUUUGACUGGGGCGGCAUAUCUUUUAAAUGAUAACGCAGGUGUCCUAAGAUGAGCUCAAUGAGAAUAGAAAUCUUGUGUGGAACAGAAAGGAUAAAGCUUAUUGGAUUCUGAAUUCUAGUACAAAUACAAACCAUGAAAGCGUGGCCUAACUAUUCUUUAGACCUUCGGAAUUCAACGCUAGAGGUGUUAGAAAAGUUAGCACAGGGAUAACUGGAUUUUGGCAACCAAGCGUUUAUAGUGACGUUGCUAUUUGAUCCUUUGAUUUUGGCUCUUCUUAUCAUUGUGAAAUAGAAUUCACCAAGAGUUUGAUUCUUCACCAACCAAUAGAGAACAUGAGCUGGGUUUAGACCAUCGUAAGAUAGGUUAGUUUUACCCUACUGAUGACAGUGUCACAACAGUAAUUCAAACUAGUAUGAGAGGAACUAUUUAUUCACAUAAUUGGUCAUCGCGCUUGGUUGAAAAGCCAGUAGCAUGAAGCUACCAUGGGCUGAAUUAUGAUUGAAUGCCUUGAACUAAGAAUCUGAGAUAGAAGUGAUGCAUGCACCCGUUGUCUACUUGCUGACCCACAGUAGGGGCUUCGGCCCCCAAUGGCAUGUAUCGUUGGCUAAGCAUCAUAGUGGAAGGGUCGUGGUGGCUGCCUUGAAGUACAAUUUCCAUCGAGCGGUGGGUAGAAUCCUUUACAGAUAACUUAAAUAGGUGACGGGGUAUUGUCAGUGGCAUAGUGGCCUUGCUUCCAUGAUCCACUAAGAUUCUUCCCUUUGUCGCUCUAGUUU